AAAAAACUUUGUAUGGACUUGGAACCUUUGCGUACGUUUGCCGCUAGGGGCGCUGUUCCAACUGCAUACAAUUAAGAGUUA
rnacentral:pre_miRNA from 1 species